rnacentral:lncRNA from 1 species
AUGAUCAUAUGCUAAUGAAAGCAUGAUUUGAGUGAGACACCAAAUAGAGGACAAGGACUUUUUAAGAAUUUAUGGGAGUUGGAGGAAUGACUUAGCCGUUAAUGGUUGAGUUCCCAGCAGACCACAUGGCAGAUCACAACCAUUGGUCACUCGAGAUCCAGGAGAUCCAGUGCCCUCUUCUGGUCUCCAUGGGCACUGCAUGCAUAUGGUGGGCAUACAGGCAAGCAGGUUCACAAACACAGAAAGGUACAUUUUUAAGAGAUAAUUUAAGGAGAGAAUUCCUUAUCUUCCAACCCACUCAUUCAGCAAAUAUUUUGAGCACUGACAAUGUAUUCUUCUAGUUACUAAAAAUUGAAUUUCAAGUUCCAAGGACUAAACACAUAUGAGGGAAAUAACCAGGUGACUAAAUGCUCAUUUAUGGGGAUGCUACUGAGUUAUUACCGUAACUAAAUGCUGAAAGCAGUUUAAAGUUUAAAUGCUUAAGUGAACUAGAAUUCUCCGUGUGGCAAAAUGCUUGACAGCUACCAAAUGCCAGUGUGUAAAGGCCCAUGAGUUAGUUUGCUUUUCUGUUGCUGUGACAGAGACCAUGCAACCUGAGGAUCAAAGGUUUAUUUGGAGUAUUCAUCCCCCAAUACCACUUCCAUCACUGAGGGAAGCCAAGGGGAUAACUCAAGUGGGGCAGGAACCUGGAGGCACGAACUGAAGCUGAGACCGUGGAGGAGUGCUGGUCAUUGAUUUGUUCCUUGGGUUGUGCUCAGCUUGCUUUUUUAUACCACCCAAAACCACCUUGUCCAGAGGUGGCACUAGCUAUAGUGGGCUGGACUAUACCACAUCAAUCAUCAGUCAAGGAGAUGUGACACAGACAUGCUCUCGGGCCAAUUCAAUGCAGGCUUUUCUCAACUGAAGUUCCCUCUUCCCAAAUGGUUCUAGCUUAUGUCAAGUUGAGAAAAAAAAUUUAACUAGCACUCCCAAGAGCUACUUGAAGCGAAAGAGGGUUAGCCACAGAACACUAGGUAGAUCAACUUCCUUGUUACUUAAAAAUACAAAUGAUUAGAAAAAUAUUCUAGAACUUUAAAAAGAAGGCAUAAUUUGAUCAUGGGUUAUCAGGGAAUCUUAGUAUACAUAUUUUUAAUCUAAUUGAUUAUCAUUUCAAAAAAUGUUUUAAAUAUAAACUAUGGAUUCUUGGAAGCAAGAUGUUGUGCAUUUACAUGUCAUAAUUAAUCCAGACCUUUCACGAAGACAAAAAUAGGGCUUUUUAAAAAAUUAUUUACAGUACUUAGCACUGAAUGUAAUGAACAUGAGAACUGAGAGUUUACGUAUAGAGGAGACUGUUUUUCAUCUUCACAGAAAGGCACUCUUAUAGAUGCAAAGCCAGCUUCCUUGCAGCUUCCUGAUGGUAUAUUGAAGGUCACCAUGUCCUUGUAAGAAGGACCAUUACACCUGAUUUCCAGUGUUACCCACCUCUAGCUCCCACAUAUCACACUGAUGCAAUUAUCCCAAUAAGGGCCCAGGACAAUACACAGGGGCCUGUCAAAGUGGGUGGGAGCUUCCCUCACAUGUCUUUCUUUGUAAAGUUGAACGUUCUAACGUUUUAUUUGGC